AUUGAACGCUGGCGGCAUGCCUAACACAUGCAAGUCGAGCGGAUGAAGGGAGCUUGCUCCUGGAUUCAGCUGCGGACGGGUGAGUAAUGCCUAGGAAUCUGCCUUGUAGUGGGGGAUAACGUCCGUAAACGGGCGCUAAUACCGCAUACGUCCUUAGGGAGAAAGUGGUGGAUCUUCGGACCUCACGCUAUCAGAUGAGCCUAGGUCGGAUUAGCUAGUUGGUGGGUUAAAGGCCUACCAAGGCGACGAUCCGUAACUGGUCUGAGAGGAUGAUCAGUCACACUGGAACUGAGACACGGUCCAGACUCCUACGGGAGGCAGCAGUGGGGAAUAUUGGACAAUGGGCGAAAGCCUGAUCCAGCCAUGCCGCGUGUGUGAAGAAGGUCUUCGGAUUGUAAAGCACUUUAAGUUGGGAGGAAGGGCAGUAAGUUAAUACCUUGCUGUUUUGACGUUACCAACAGAAUAAGCACCGGCUAACUUCGUG
rnacentral:rRNA from 1 species